UACGAAGGGUGCAAGCGUUACUCGGAAUUACUGGGCGUAAAGCGUGCGUAGGUGGUUUGUUAAGUCUGAUGUGAAAGCCCUGGGCUCAACCUGGGAAUUGCAUUGGAUACUGGCAAGCUAGAGUGCGGUAGAGGAUGGCGGAAUUCCCGGUGUAGCAGUGAAAUGCGUAGAGAUCGGGAGGAACAUCUGUGGCGAAGGCGGCCAUCUGGACCA
rnacentral:rRNA from 1 species